CAGCAGUGGGGAAUAUUGGGCAAUGGAGGGAACUCUGACCCAGCGACGCCGCGUGCGGGAUGAAGGCCUUCGGGUUGUAAACCGCUUUCAGCAAGGAAGAAGCGAAAGUGACGGUACUUGCAGAAGAAGCACCGGCUAACUAUGUGCCAGCAGCCGCGGUAAUACAUAGGGUGCAAGCGUUGUCCGGAAUUAUUGGGCGUAAAGAGCUCGUAGGUGGUUCGUCACGUCGGAUGUGAAAAUCCGGGGCUUAACCCCAGACCUGCAUUCGAUACGGGCGAGCUAGAGUGUGGUAGGGGAGACUGGAAUUCCUGGUGUAGCGGUGGAAUGCGCAGAUAUCAGGAGGAACACCAAUGGCGAAGGCAGGUCUCUGGGCCAUUACUGACACUGAGGAGCGAAAGCGUGGGGAGCGAACAGGAUUAGAUACCCUGGUAGUCCACGCCGUAAACGGUGGGCGCUAGUUGUGGGAACCUUCCACGGUUUCUGCGACGCAGCUAACGCAUUAAGUGCCCCGCCUGGGGAGUACGAUCGCAAGAUUA
rnacentral:rRNA from 1 species